GGGUGUGCUGAGUUCCAGAGCAAAGGGAAACAAGGGGGAACCCUUGUUCUUGCUAAAUUCAAUCAAUUGACAACGGAUUUCAAGGAUAAUCAGUUGCAUGUCUCAAAUUUUCGAUCAUCUAAGCAUACAUAGUGAAGUGGCGUGAAAGAAGAAAGCUCAAACACUAAGAAAACGGGAGGCUCACAAGAUCGAGGUAAAUCCUCAAUUUAGGCGACUUGGCAAAUUGGAGCGAGCAUAUGCACACUUUAUGAUUAUCAAACGCUUCCGCUAUUACGUAUUAAUAUUUUGGGUCAAAUCUUGUUUUCUGUAUAACUUUGUUAGUAGAUACACUUUUUAACACUUGAUGUAUGGUUUUUAGUCGUGUCUAGUCGAAUGGGUCGUAAACUUGUUUGUUUGUUGAUGUUUAACACAGGGAUACACUCCUCU
rnacentral:lncRNA from 1 species